rnacentral:rRNA from 1 species
AUGGGACUGGAACACGGGCCAUACUCCUACGGGAGGCAGCAGCAGGGAAUAUUGCACAAUGGACGGAAGUCUGAUGCAGCGACGCCGCGUGGAUGAAGAAGGCCCUCGGGUUGUAAAAUCCUUUACAGGGGGAAGAGGAAGGACGGUACCCCUGGAACAAGUGUCGGCUAACUACGUGCCAGCAGCCGCGGUAAGACGUAGGACACAAGCGUUAUCCGGAUUUACUGGGCGUAAAGCGUCUGCAGGCGGACAGGUAAGUUGGGCGUGAAAGCUCCGGGCCCAACCCGGAGAGGUCGUUCAAUACUGCGUGUCUAGAGGGUGUCAGAGGGGAGUGGAAUUUCCGGAGUAGCGGUAAAAUGCGCAGAGAUCGGAAAGAACACCAAUGGCGAAGGCAGCUCCCUGGGGCAACCCUGACGCUAAGAGACGAAAGCUAGGGGAGCGAACAGGAUUAGAGACCCUGGUAGUCCUAGCCCUAAACGAUGGAUGCUGGAUGUGGGGCCAUAGCGCUCCGUGUCGAAGCGAACGCGUUAAGCAUCCCGCCUGGGGACUACGGCCGCAAGGUUAAAACUCAAACGAAUUGACGGGACCCCGCACAAGCAGCGGAGCGUGUGGUUUAAUUCGAUGCUACACGAAGAACCUUACCUGGGUUUGACAUCUAGGUGGUAGUGAAGCGAAAGCGGAGCGACCCUUCGGGGAGCCUAGACAGGUGCUGCAUGGCUGUCGUCAGCUCGUGCCGUGAGGUGUCGGGUUAAGUCCCGUAACGAGCGCAACCCUUGCCCUCCGUUAUACGUGUCAGAGGGGACUGCCGGCGGUAAGCCGGAGGAAGGUGGGGAUGACGUCAAGUCAGCAUGGCCUUUAUAUCCAGGGCUACACACACGCUACAAUGGCCAGUACAAAGGGCAGCGAAGCCGCGAGGUGGAGCGAAUCCCAGCAAAGCUGGUCGUAGUUCGGAUUGCAGGCUGCAACCCGCCUGCAUGAAGCUGGAGUUGCUAGUAACCGCGCGUCAGCCAUAGUGCGGUGAAUACGUUCCCGGGGUUUGUACACACCGCCCGUCACGUCAUGGGAGUCGAUAACGCCUGAAGCCGGUGGCCUAGCUCGGAAGAGAGGGCGCUGUCUAAGGCG